AAUCCAUAGGUUAAUGAGGCGAACCGGGGGAACUGAAACAUCUAAGUACCCCGAGGAAAAGAAAUCAACCGAGAUUCCCCCAGUAGCGGCGAGCGAACGGGGAGGAGCCCAGAGCCUGAAUCAGCAUGUGUGUUAGUGGAAGCGUCUGGAAAGGCGCGCGAUACAGGGUGACAGCCCCGUACACAAAAGCGCAUGUGCUGUGAGCUCGAUGAGUAGGGCGGGACACGUGGUAUCCUGUCUGAAUAUGGGGGGACCAUCCUCCAAGGCUAAAUACUCCUGACUGACCGAUAGUGAACCAGUACCGUGAGGGAAAGGCGAAAAGAACCCCGGCGAGGGGAGUGAAAAAGAACCUGAAACCGUGUACGUACAAGCAGUGGGAGCACAGGUUUACCUGUGUGACUGCGUACCUUUUGUAUAAUGGGUCAGCGACUUAUAUUCUGUAGCAAGGUUAACCGAAUAGGGGAGCCGGAGGGAAACCGAGUCUUAAUUGGGCGUUAAGUUGCAGGGUAUAGACCCGAAACCCGGUGAUCUAGCCAUGGGCAGGUUGAAGGUUGGGUAACACUAACUGGAGGACCGAACCGACUAAUGUUGAAAAAUUAGCGGAUGACCUGUGGCUGGGGGUGAAAGGCCAAUCAAACCGGGAGAUAGCUGGUUCUCCCCGAAAGCUAUUUAGGUAGCGCCUCGUGAAUUCAUCUCCGGGGGUAGAGCACUGUUUCGGCUAGGGGGCCAUCCCGGCUUACCAACCCGAUGCAAACUGCGAAUACCGGAGAAUGUUAUCACGGGAGACACACGGCGGGUGCUAACGUCCGUCGUGAAGAGGGAAACAACCCAGACCGCCAGCUAAGGUCCCAAAGUCAUGGUUAAGUGGGAAACGAUGUGGGAAGGCCCAGACAGCCAGGAUGUUGGCUUAGAAGCAGCCAUCAUUUAAAGAAAGCGUAAUAGCUCACUGGUCGAGUCGGCCUGCGCGGAAGAUGUAACGGGGCUAAACCAUGCACCGAAGCUGCGGCAGCGAACGUAUCACUUAAAGCGAUUCAGCGGGUUACGAUUGACGGAGCGAAGCGACGUCAAAGCGUAUACAAAGUCGAGUCGGUUUAAGGAUACGUUCGUUGGGUAGGGGAGCGUUCUGUAAGCCUGUGAAGGUGGCCUGUGAGGGUUGCUGGAGGUAUCAGAAGUGCGAAUGCUGACAUAAGUAACGAUAAAGCGGGUGAAAAGCCCGCUCGCCGGAAGACCAAGGGUUCCUGUCCAACGUUAAUCGGGGCAGGGUGAGUCGACCCCUAAGGCGAGGCCGAAAGGCGUAGUCGAUGGGAAACGGGUUAAUAUUCCCGUACUUGGUGUUACUGCGAAGGGGGGACGGAGAAGGCUAUGUUGGCCGGGCGACGGUUGUCCCGGUUUAAGCGUGUAGGUGUGUGUUCCAGGUAAAUCCGGUUCACUUUAACACUGAGGCGUGAUGACGAGGCACUACGGUGCUGAAGCAACAAAUGCCCUGCUUCCAGGAAAAGCCUCUAAGCAUCAGGUAACAUCAAAUCGUACCCCAAACCGACACAGGUGGUCAGGUAGAGAAUACCAAGGCGCUUGAGAGAACUCGGGUGAAGGAACUAGGCAAAAUGGUGCCGUAACUUCGGGAGAAGGCACGCUGACACGUAGGUGAAGUGAUUUACUCACGGAGCUGAAGUCAGUCGAAGAUACCAGCUGGCUGCAACUGUUUAUUAAAAACACAGCACUGUGCAAACACGAAAGUGGACGUAUACGGUGUGACGCCUGCCCGGUGCCGGAAGGUUAAUUGAUGGGGUCAGCGCAAGCGAAGCUCCUGAUCGAAGCCCCGGUAAACGGCGGCCGUAACUAUAACGGUCCUAAGGUAGCGAAAUUCCUUGUCGGGUAAGUUCCGACCUGCACGAAUGGCGUAAUGAUGGCCAGGCUGUCUCCACCCGAGACUCAGUGAAAUUGAACUCGCUGUGAAGAUGCAGUGUACCCGCGGCAAGACGGAAAGACCCCGUGAACCUUUACUAUAGCUUGACACUGAACAUUGAGCCUUGAUGUGUAGGAUAGGUGGGAGGCUUUGAAGUGUGGACGCCAGUCUGCAUGGAGCCGACCUUGAAAUACCACCCUUUAAUGUUUGAUGUUCUAACGUGGACCCGUAAUCCGGGUUGCGGACAGUGUCUGGUGGGUAGUUUGACUGGGGCGGUCUCCUCCUAAAGAGUAACGGAGGAGCACGAAGGUUGGCUAAUCCUGGUCGGACAUCAGGAGGUUAGUGCAAUGGCAUAAGCCAGCUUGACUGCGAGCGUGACGGCGCGAGCAGGUGCGAAAGCAGGUCAUAGUGAUCCGGUGGUUCUGAAUGGAAGGGCCAUCGCUCAACGGAUAAAAGGUACUCCGGGGAUAACAGGCUGAUACCGCCCAAGAGUUCAUAUCGACGGCGGUGUUUGGCACCUCGAUGUCGGCUCAUCACAUCCUGGGGCUGAAGUAGGUCCCAAGGGUAUGGCUGUUCGCCAUUUAAAGUGGUACGCGAGCUGGGUUUAGAACGUCGUGAGACAGUUCGGUCCCUAUCUGCCGUGGGCGCUGGAGAACUGAGGGGGGCUGCUCCUAGUACGAGAGGACCGGAGUGGACGCAUCACUGGUGUUCGGGUUGUCAUGCCAAUGGCACUGCCCGGUAGCUAAAUGCGGAAGAGAUAAGUGCUGAAAGCAUCUAAGCACGAAACUUGCCCCGAGAUGAGUUCUCCCUGAGACUUAGAGUCUCCUGAAGGAACGUUGAAGACGACGACGUUGAUAGGCCGGGUGUGUAAGCGCAGCGAUGCGUUGAGCUAACCGGUACUAAUGAACCGUGAGGCUUAACCUUACAACGCCGAAG
rnacentral:rRNA from 1 species